AACGAACGCUGGCGGCAUGCCUAACACAUGCAAGUCGAACGAUGCUUUCGGGCCUAGUGGCGCACGGGUGCGUAACGCGUGGGAAUCUGCCCUUGGGUUCGGAAUAACAGUGAGAAAUUGCUGCUAAUACCGGAUGAUGUCUUCGGACCAAAGAUUUAUCGCCCAGGGAUGAGCCCGCGUAGGAUUAGCUAGUUGGUGGGGUAAUGGCCUACCAAGGCGACGAUCCUUAGCUGGUCUGAGAGGAUGAUCAGCCACACUGGGACUGAGACACGGCCCAGACUCCUACGGGAGGCAGCAGUGGGGAAUAUUGGACAAUGGGCGCAAGCCUGAUCCAGCAAUGCCGCGUGAGUGAUGAAGGCCUUAGGGUUGUAAAGCUCUUUUACCCGGGAUGAUAAUGACAGUACCGGGAGAAUAAGCUCCGGCUAACUCCGUG
rnacentral:rRNA from 1 species